UACAGAGGUCUCAAGCGUUGUUCGGAUUCAUUGGGCGUAAAGGGUGCGUAGGCGGCGCGGUAAGUCGGGUGUGAAAGUCCGAGGCUCAACCUCGGAAUGUCGGCGGAAACCCUCUGGCUAGAGUCCGGAAGAGGCGAGUGGAAUUCCCGGUGUAGCGGUGAAAUGCGCAGAUAUCGGGAAGAACACCCGUGGCGAAGGCGGUUCUCUGGGACGGUACUGACGCUGAGACGCGAAAGCGUGGGGAGCGAACAGG
rnacentral:rRNA from 1 species